rnacentral:rRNA from 1 species
UACGUAGGGGGCGAGCGUUGUCCGGAAUCAUUGGGCGUAAAGCGCGUGUAGGCGGCUCGGUAAGUCUGGUGUGAAAUCCAGGGGCUCAACCCCUGGCGGUCACUGGAUACUGUCGGGCUAGAGUCCGGAAGAGGAGAGUGGAAUUCCUGGUGUAGCGGUGGAAUGCGCAGAUAUCAGGAGGAACACCAAUGGCGAAGGCAGCUCUCUGGGCAUUAACUGACGCUGAGGAGCGAAAGCAUGGGGAGCGGACAGG